GAGUGAAUCCACUCCUUCCUCAGUGGAUUUGAAUCUCUUGCUAUGAAGAAUGUUUUCCAGUUAAUGUUUAACCAGCUGCAUGCCUGGGCACUCUUUCCUGCUUUUGGUCACAUUUACGGAGUUAUAAACCCAAGAAAAGUAGUCAGACCUUGCUGCUUGGGAAUGCUGGAGCACCACUAGGAGGGAAGUUCUGCUAUGACUCCAUGGUGGCCAGAGCUUCAGCCCUGCAGCCAGCAAGAGCCAGCUCCCCCAGUGCUCAUCACUUGCCUCCCAACCCCUUGUUUCUGCAGAAGCCACUGAGAUGCUGAUGGUGAUGAAGAGCUGUGCUGCAUCCCCAGAGCCGCAACCUCCGAGUGCCAAAGCACAUCUGCCAUGUGUUAGCAGCUGAAGCAACCUCUGCACCUUCUGGGAUCCCCUUCCAUCCCUCAGCCCUGAGCCCGGGGAGGGGCAGCUCCAGCCCUGCAGGUUGUCCAAGAGCCAGCGAGGGCUGGGGGGGCUGCGCAGCUCCAGGAGAGACGUUCUGCCAACCGUCUCGUUCUUAUCCUCCCUAAAGGAGUUUGGAGGAUUAGGGAUGAGAAGCAAUCUGAGAAGGAAAGAUGUCAGCCAAUUUUCAAAGGGAUCUGCAGAAAGGGAAGCACUCCCACAGCUGUCAGAUGGGAAAUCAGCUUUUAGCCCACCGAUUCACACGCUGCAAAGCGCUCAUCCUGGCAGCUCCUGCUCUUCACAUCCCACUGCACAAGUUCUGCAAAGUCCUGCUAUUGCUGAGAAACCUUUUUUCCUUGCAAACCGCUGCUGGAGUUGGUGAGGUUGCUGCAAAAACCCACAACUUGCAUCCAACAUGCUGGGGGUGAGCUGGGAUCCUUCCCAGGCCAGGACUGCAGUGUUCUGUGAGCAUUGCCUUGUGCUGGGUGGCUGCUUCAUUUCACUUAACCUCUCCCAGAGGUAGGAAAGGAUUCAAAACUGUAGGGCGCUCUGCUGCUUUCAAGCCAUUAAGUGUCCUGACUAUAAUUGCUCUGAAUUAGAUUCAAGUCAUUCCCUAAAGACAUCUAUUCCAUAGUAUGCCUGGCCAUGGGGCAACGUCCUCCAUGGGAUGUUUGGGCUGCAGCCACCAAGGCUCACUCUUCUCUAGACAUGGCCAUAUUCACCACUGGAGCUCAUCCUACACACAUCCAGGGCUAAGUGAGCACUUGGGGAUGUCCUUCUCCAUUUGGGGGUAUCGCAGCUCAUCCAUGUCCUCUGCUCACACACAGCUGAGGCAAUCUUUGUUCCUUCUUCAGGCACUUACAUUUCUAAUUCCAGGGGCUUUGGCACAUGGGGGGUUGGGACAAAAACCUGGUCUGCUCUGUCGCUGCUGUAGGGAAGGGGGUUUGGUGCGGGUUGGGGGUUGCAUGGACAGCAUUUGGUGCAGCUUGGGAGCUGCAGGGAUAGGAUUUGGUGCAAACUGAGGCUUUGGUGCUUGCCUAGCACAGGAGGGCUUUGUGCUGGGGGAGGCGGAGAGCAGUGCAAGUGUGUGUGUGUGUGUGGCUGGGGCCGGGGGAGCCGGGAGGCUCAUCUGGUGUCAGCAGCAUUCAUGUGCAAAGCAGGGACCCAGGGCAGCGCAUUAUCUCCGGGCUGGAAUGGCUCUUUCAGGCGCUCCCCGACUUUUCAGGGAUGCUGCACACUUGAAGGCUGGUUAUUAGUUCCAAAUGCUGUAGGAGCAUCUGCUCUCAACUAGCUCGAAACCAUGUUUAAUAACAAGAAAAUCUACUCCAGCCAAAUCCCUAUAGGGAGGGCUUUAGCCCGAACAAAGGCCCCCCCACCUCUGAUUUCCAUAACAGAUGUACCAUGCGAUGCAUGACAGCCCGGCGCGGGGGGAGCUCCUUUAUUCCCCACAUAUCCAUCUGCAAGAAAGGGGGCUUUCAUUUUAUUAAUUGCACUGGUGUGCUCCGCGCCGC
ensembl:lncRNA